CAGGAAAGAAAAGUGAGAGCAAUUCUGUAAAAAGGAAGAAAAUAUUUAAUAGUGGAGAACCUUUCCAGAAGAGUAAGGCCUAUCAGAACUACUCCGAGUGUUGCACUGCUGACUCACACAGGAGGUCAGGAAAUGAACUUUGGAAAAAAGCCUACCUUACAGCCCUCACAGGCAUGGACCCCAUAGUGAAACCCCGAGGCUUUGUCUCCACACACGCGACACUCGAUGUUCAACGCUGAAGCUGAUGCAUCGUCUGGGAACUUGGAGAACAAAGGGUUGUCAGAGUACUGUGGCGCUGUGCAUGUUUGUGUAGUCCAUGUUCGUCAGGUGUUCUUCACUGAGCGGAGGACUGAUGUCGUAGGCCAAGCCGGCAGAUGAGAUGGAGG